rnacentral:lncRNA from 1 species
CUCUCUCUCUCUGUCAAACUUUUUUGUUAAUAACGUUUGUAAAUCUCCCAAUGAGGGCUUCUAAGGUCUCGGCUCUUCUUCUUCUUCUUCUUCUGGGCCUGGUGGCUCUUCCAACGAAGGGCCUGAUGCCCUACUCUCGGAGCCUUUGGGACAUGAUGUUGCCUAGCGAUGAUCCUUUCCGAAUCCUGGAGCAGGCUCCCUUCACCAUGCCCAAGGCCGUGGACGAACUCGCCCUCGCACGUGCCGACUGGAAGGAGACUCCCCAGGCUCACGUGAUCUCUCUCGAUGUUCCAGGUAUCAUGUACAUGGUUCCUAUGCCACAUGCCCCGUGUCUUAUCAAAUCUCUUAAUUAACUCAACUGUGCAUGGCAUCCAUGUUUCCCUUAAUGAUCUUACUAAAUUAAUAUCCAAAAAUGCAAAUAUAUGACUAUGGUACUUUCAUCAUCAUCAUUAUUUUUUUAUUUUUAUUUAUUUACUAAAACAAAUGAUUCAUAUCUUUUUAGUAAAAAUAUAUUUGAUAAUAUUAAAAAAUAAUAAAUCUUAAGGUGCUCUAGAAAAUACUUCUUUUCAAUCCCAUAAGAUGUCUCUGGAGUGGUUGGUUGGCCGUAUAUAAAACCACUUAGUCCGCGACUUUGUUUAUCUCUCUGAAAAUAUGCUUGAUUCGAAAGUCCACUCCAUCGCUCAUCAUAACAUAAAUAUUUCGGGCCAGCCAUCCUGAAUCAUCAUCACCUUCGCCAUAAGUAUGAAUGUGAAACUUAGUGGAGUUAGACAUGAUCGAUAUAAGAUGGUUGAGCUUUAAACAGUGCAUUAGUUGGACAUUGAAGCGUUUCUCAUUUUUCUUGGAUAAUUUUACCUUAAUUUAUCUUGGAAAUUACUGCAAGUGAUUGCUCAUUGGCAUUGGUGGCAUCAUGACAUCAUGCAGGGGUAAAGAGGGAGGAUAUCAAGAUCGAGGUAGAGGAGAACCGGGUGCUAAGGAUCACCGGAGAAAGGAAGGGCGGGGAGGAGGUGGAGGGUGAGAAAUGGCAUAGAGCCGAGAGGACCUCCGGCAAGUUCUGGAGGCAGUUCAGGCUUCCGGCGAGCGCGGACAUGGACUCCAUUAAAGCUCACUUGGAGGAUGGAGUGUUGACGGUGGCUGUUCCCAAGCUGGCUGGGGAGAAGAAGAGGCAGCCGAGGGUGGUGAACAUUGUAGAAGAGACCAACAAGGGUGGAGACGUCAAGGCAUCAAAGGCAGAAAUGUAAUUAUAAUUUGAGAAUUUCCCACGUAUAUGUUCUUCUUAUGUUUGUUCUCUCACUACUUGUAUGGAUUUGUGGGUCUGUUUGUUGGCUCCGUAUGUGGUUUGAACUUGUUUCUUUUGCUGAAAUAAAAUGGCGUAUUAAGUUUGGGCUUCUUUUGGUCAC